GUAUCACAGUCCAAGCUUUGG
rnacentral:miRNA from 1 species